rnacentral:rRNA from 1 species
AUCUACGGCCAUGCCCCCCUGAACAAGCCCGAUCUCGUCUGAUCUCGGAAGCUAAGCAAGGUCGGGCCUGGUUAGUACUUGGAUGGGAGACCACCUAGGGAGACCAGGUGCUGUAAGCA